rnacentral:tRNA from 1 species
AACUUAUUGUUUUUUAAGGUUUAAGUUUGGGACUCAUAAUCGCUUGGUCGCUGGUUCAAGCCCAGCAGGGGCCACCA